UUCUGCAUAGCAUUUGCUGUUGUUUGGGCGGUCUAUCGCAAUGUCUCCUUUGCCUGGGUAGGCCAAGAUAUACUAGGAAUUGCACUGAUAAUCACAGUUCUGCAAAUUGUCCAUGUACCUAACCUCAAGGUGGGUACAGUUCUUCUAAGUUGUGCGUUCGUGUAUGACAUCUUUUGGGUGUUUGUUUCUAAGAAAUUGUUCCAUGAAAGUGUCAUG
rnacentral:misc_RNA from 1 species